GCCCGUCAUUGUUCGACCGAGGUUGAACCCUUCACUUUUUUUGGCGAAGGCCCUUGGCCUUAAAUGGUGUUAUUUCGAAUUUAUCGAAACAUCAACUCGUCGUUGUUCGAUCAAGGUCGAACUCUUCUCUUUUUUGGCGAAGGCCCUUGGUCAUAAAGGGAAUUUUUUCAAACAUAUCAAAAUAACAGCCCGUCAUUUUUUCGACCGAGGUCGAACCCUUAUCUUUUUUUGGCGAAGGUCCUUGGACAUAAAGGGUGUUAUUUCAAACUUAUCGAAAUAAUAGCCAAUCGUUAUUCAAUUGAGGUCGAAUCCUUAUCUUUUUUGGUGAAGGCCCUCUUGGCCUUAAAGGGUGUUAUUUCGAACUUAUCAAAAUAACAGCCCAUCGUCGUUCAAUCGAGGUUAUACUCUUCUCUUUUUUGGCGAAGGCCCUUGGACAUAAAGUCUUUAUUUCGAACUUAUCGAAAUAACAGACCAUCGUUAUUCAAUCAAGGUCGAACCCUUCUCUUUUUUUGUGAAGACCCUUGGCUUUAAAUGGUGUUAUUU
rnacentral:lncRNA from 1 species